rnacentral:rRNA from 1 species
CAGCAGCCACGGUAAUACGGAGGGUGCAAGCGUUAAUCGGAAUUACUGGGCGUAAAGCGUGCGUAGGUGGUGGUUUAAGUCCGUUGUGAAAGCCCUGGGCUCAACCUGGGAAUUGCAGUGGAUACUGGAUCACUAGAGUGUGGUAGAGGAUAGUGGAAUUUCCGGUGUAGCAGUGAAAUGCGUAGAGAUCGGAAGGAACAUCUGUGGCGAAGGCGACUAUCUGGGCCAACACUGACACUGAGGCACGAAAGCGUUGGGAGCAAACAGGAUUAGAUACCCGCGUAGUCCCUGUCUCUUAUAC